UUAGCAUGGAAUAAUGAAAUAGGACGUGUGGUUCUAUUUUGUUGGUUUCUAGGACCGCCGUAAUGAUUAAUAGGGACAGUCGGGGGCAUCAGUAUUCAAUUGUCAGAGGUGAAAUUCUUGGAUUUAUUGAAGACUAACUACUGCGAAAGCAUUUGCCAAGGAUGUUUUCAUUAAUCAGGAACGAAAGUUAGGGGAUCGAAGACGAUCAGAUACCGUCGUAGUCUUAACCAUAAACUAUGCCGACUAGGGAUCGGACGGUGUUAUUUUUUGACCCGUUCGGCACCUUACGAGAAAUCAAAGUGCUUGGGCUCCAGGGGGAGUAUGGUCGCAAGGCUGAAACUUAAAGAAAUUGACGGAAGGGCACCACCAGGGGUGGAGCCUGCGGCUUAAUUUGACUCAACACGGGGAAACUCACCAGGUCCAGACACAAUGAGGAUUGACAGAUUGAGAGCUCUUUCUUGAUUUUGUGGGUGGUGGUGCAUGGCCGUUCUUAGUUGGUGGAGUGAUUUGUCUGCUUAAUUGCGAUAACGAACGAGACCUUAACCUGCUAAAUAGCCCGUAUUGCUUUGGCAGUACGCUGGCUUCUUAGAGGGACUAUCGGCUCAAGCCGAUGGAAGUUUGAGGCAAUAACAGGUCUGUGAUGCCCUUAGAUGUUCUGGGCCGCACACGCGCUACACUGACGGAGCCAGCGAGUACUUCCUUGUCCGAAAGGUCCGGGUAAUCUUGUUAAACUCCGUCGUGCUGGGGAUAGGGCAUUGCAAU
rnacentral:rRNA from 1 species